ACGAACGCUGGCGGCAGGCCUAACACAUGCAAGUCGAGCGGGCGUACAGCAAUGACGUCGAGCGGCAGACGGGUGAGUAACACGUGGGAACGUACCUUUCGGUUCGGAAUCAACAUCAGGGAAACUUGUGCUAAUACCGGAUAGCGCUUACGAGAGGAGAAAGAUUUAUCGCCGAAGGAUCGGCCCGCGUCUGAUUAGCUAGUUGGUGAGGUAAUGGCUCACCAAGGCGACGAUCAGUAGCUGGUCUGAGAGGAUGAUCAGCCACAUUGGGACUGAGACACGGCCCAAACUCCUACGGGAGGCAGCAGUGGGGAAUAUUGGACAAUGGGGGCAACCCUGAUCCAGCCAUGCCGCGUGAGUGAUGAAGGCCCUAGGGUUGUAAAGCUCUUUUGUGCGGGAAGAUAAUGACGGUACCGCAAGAAUAAGCCCCGGCUAACUUCGUGCCAGCAGCCGCGGUAAUACGAAGGGGGCUAGCGUUGCUCGGAAUCACUGGGCGUAAAGGGUGUGUAGGCGGGUCUUUAAGUCAGGGGUGAAUCCUGGAGCUCAACUCCAGAACUGCCUUUGAUACUGAAGAUCUUGAGUUCGGGAGAGGUGAGUGGAACUGCGAGUGUAGAGGUGAAAUUCGUAGAUAUUCGCAAGAACACCAGUGGCGAAGGCGGCUCACUGGCCCGAUACUGACGCUGAGGCACGAAAGCGUGGGGAGCAAACAGGAUUAGAUACCCUGGUAGUCCACGCCGUAAACGUGAAUGCCAGCCGUUAGUGGGUUUACUCACUAGUGGCGCAGCUAACGCUUUAAGCAUUCCGCCUGGGGAGUACGGUCGCAAGAUUAAAAACUCAAAGGAAUUGACGGGGGCCCGCACAAGCGGUGGAGCAUGUGGUUUAAUUCGACGCAACGCGCAGAACCUUACCAGCCCUUGACAUGUCCAGGACCGGUCACAGAGAUGUGACCUUCUCUUCGAAGCCUGGAACACAGGUUGCUGCAUGGCUGUCGUCAGCUCGUGUCGUGAGAUGUUGGGUUAAGUCCCGCAACGAGCGCGACCCCCGUCCUUAGUUGCUACCAUUUAGUUGAGCACUCUAAGGAGACUGCCGGUGAUAAGCUGCGAGGAAGGUGGGGAUGACGUCAAGUCCUCAUGGCCCUUACGGGCUGGGCUACACACGUGCUACAAUGGCGGUGACAAUGGGAUGCUAAGGGGCGACCCUUCGCAAAUCUCAAAAAGCCGUCUCAGUUCGGAUUGGGCUCUGCAACUCGAGCCCAUGAAGUUGGAAUCGCUAGUAAUCGUGGAUCAGCACGCCACGGUGAAUACGUUCCCGGGCCUUGUACACACCGCCCGUCACACCAUGGGAGUUGGUUUUACCUGAAGACGGUGCGCUAACCCGCAAGGGAGGCAGCCGGCCACGGUAGGGUCAGCGACUGGGUGA
rnacentral:rRNA from 1 species